ACUUUUAAAAUGAUACAUAUAUAUAUAUGACUAUAUAAUGUAUAACUAUAAUUGUGUGUGUAUAUGUAUAUUUAUACACAUAAGAUAUUGGGUAAAUGUUAAAAGUCUGUCUGGAAUGGGGUGAUGGGUUAAUGGUGCAUAAGUGUGUGUGAUGGUUUUGUGUGUGAAUGUGCACGCGUGAGUGUGCAAGAGUAUUUGCAUGUGUGCAUACUUUCCUGUUUCCCACGUGUUCUGCAUUGACUGCAUUAUGUUUGAAUAACGUGGUUUUGUUUUUUUAAUUUUUUUUAACGUUUAUUUAUUUUUGAGACAGAGACAGAGCGAGGGGGAGACACAGAAUUGGAAGCAGGCUCCAGGCUCUGGGCCAUCAGCCCAGAGCCCGACUCAGGGCUCGAACUCACGGACCGUGAGAUUGUGACCUGAGCUGAAGUCGGACGCUUAACUGACUGAGCCACUCAGGCAACCCAGCGAAUAACGUGGUUUUGAAAACCACAGCCUAGAAACCUUGUUCAAGUUACAACGCUGCUUUCCUUCACCCCCUCCCCUGCCCCUGCCAUUUAAACUCUUUGGAAACAGCUGCAUCAGUUUGGUGACCACGCACGCAUGCAGCUCUGCGGAAACUUUUCUCCCCAACACCGGGGGCCUCGAACUGCCCAGCCAGGAACCCUUGGGAGCCCACAGCUGCCGGCCAGGAAGAUGUCACUCCUGGUUCUGCAGGGCACUUGGGUGGAGCGACCUAAUUCAGGGUGGGCAGAUAUGCUGCUUCGUGCCUCAGUUUCUAUCUCUGUAAGGUUGGCACGAUACUGCUCCCUGCCACCUGCCUCCUCUCCUGGGCUGCUCUGGGCACUCAGGGACUCCCCACUCACUGGCGCCCGUCUGUGCCAGAUGGGUGAGGUUUGAGAAGCCACUGAAACAUUGUUUCCCUUCUCAGGUAGAUGGAAAGCCUCAGCCCUGCCCCCAGGGAAACAGCAAUGGUGCAUGAGCUCUGCGCUGGUCCCCAGUCCGAGCACAUGUUGCCAUGACGCCCGGGAAUGCGGAAACAGCAGCUUCCUCUGCAGCCCCGUCUGGGGGCCCCCAAGUUUCUGCUGGUGACAGAGCUGCCUGUUCCCAGCCUCGGUGUCCCUCUUGCUGGUCCCCGGCUCCCAAGGACAGGUUUGGCUUUUGCAGGGAAGUCUUUCUGAUUGGGUCCUAUCAGUGGCACCCAAACAGGGUGCCCUCCCUGGGCUGGAGAGCUGAAAGCUCCUGUGUUUCUGUGGCUGGGUCCUGUCUCUGUUCCGUGCUUCUGGGAAGAUGAGAGACGAACGUCACCACAUCUGGUUACCUGAAAUUCCGAGACACCGCCCGUGUUGUCCGUUUGGACCGGGCCUGUGGAAAGAGACCAGGCCUCAGGGUUGAAUAGACCCUGGCUGUGGGCAAAUUUCUUCACCUCUUCAAGUCUCAGUUUUCCCGUCUAUAAGAUGGGAAUAAAAACACUCUCUACCUCCCAGGUUAGUGACUAUGAUAAAUUCUGAACGUGAAGCUAUCGUGGGCACCGGGUAGAAGGUGGUUAUUGUUGGGAAUAAAGGGCCCCGCCCUGAGGACUGCCUUCCUGGGAUAAAACGGGGCUUGAGUUCGGCUCAGGUACUUACAGGGGUCCCGCUUGGUGUCGAGCCCAGCUGAAACGCAUCGUCCCAGCUGGACCCUGGCCUGGUCCAGGUGGGAGGGUGGGGCUCCCCGCGAGGCGAGGGGUGGGCUUGUCUCUCCGGCGCCCAGGUGGGCGGUGUGUGGCUGGGCCUCCCCAGAUAAAGGCGACAAAGGAGGCACAGGAGAGAGGAAGGAAGGAGAAGAUAGGCAACGGAGAAGGUGAGAGGAGCGAGACUGUGUCAGAGCAACAACAAGGACACAGAGGUAGACAGGAAGGAGAGAGUGAGCGGAGGGUGGAGAGGGAGCCUCAGAAAGAAACGGCAACGCAAUUUAAAAACUGGCAGGCCGUUAAAAAGAGCCCGUUUGACCUCCGGCACGCCGAGCCAAGCCUCUCUUUCUCAACUGGUUCCCCAAGAUCAUGCCAGGGUCGAGCGGGGACACAGGCAGGGGCCUGUGAGCUCUCCAGUGAACCUGACAACCUGGGACGUUGCUACAGAUAACAGAGUCACCGUGAGUGCUGGCUUUGACCCUGAUACGAACACGGGUAAAAUUUAAAAAUCUUAUCGGUCCUAGCUCCAGAAUGUUCUAUACCUUGCCCAAGGUCCCAAACUCUUCCUGGCAGAGCAGGAGCUCUUGGGAAAGAGAUUCCAAACAGAGAAAUGGAUCGUCGUUGGCCUAAAACCUGAUAUACCCUUAUCCCGUUGACCAGCUAUGUUUAAAAUCACUGCCAGGGCGCCUGGGUGGCUCAGUUGGUUAAGUGUCCGGCUUCGGCUCAGGUCAUGAUC